rnacentral:rRNA from 1 species
GGAGGGUGCAAGCAUUAAUCGGAUUUAUUGGGCGUAAAGGGCGCGUAGGCGGCUUGUUAAGUCAGGUGUGAAAUUCCGAAGCUCAACUUCGGAGCUGCACUUGAAACUGACAGGCUUGAGGAUAGGCGGAGAAAACGGAAUUCCACGUGUAGCGGUGAAAUGCGUAGAUAUGUGGAAGAACACCGGUGGCGAAGGCGGUUUUCUAGCUUAUUCCUGACGCUGAGGCGCGAAAGCAAGGGUAGCGAACAGGGAUUAGAUACCCUGGUAGUCCUUGCCGUAAACGAUGCAUACUAGAUGUAAUUGGACUCAACCCCCGAUUGUGUCGCAAGCUAACGCGUUAAGUAUGCCGCCUGGGAGUACGCUCGCAAGGGUA